rnacentral:rRNA from 1 species
CCUACGGGCGGCAGCAGUGAGGAAUAUUGGUCAAUGGACGAGAGUCUGAACCAGCCAAGUAGCGUGAAGGAUGACUGCCCUAUGGGUUGUAAACUUCUUUUAUAUGGGAAUAAAAUGUUCCACGUGUGGGAUUUUGUAUGUAACAUAUGAAUAAGGAUCGGCUAACUCCGGGCCAGCAGCCGCGGUCAUACGGAGGAUCCGAGCGUUAUCCGGAUUUAUUGGGUUUAAAGGGAGCGUAGGGGGAUUGUUAAGUCAGUUGUGAAAGUUUGCGGCUCAACCGUAAAAUUGCAGUUGAAACUGGCAGUCUUGAGUACAGUAGAGGUGGGCGGAAUGCGUGGUGUAGCGGUGAAAUGCUUAGAUAUCACGAAGAACUCCGAUUGCGAAGGCAGUUCACUGGACUGCAACUGACACUGAGGCUCGAAAGUGUGGGUAUCAAACAGGAUUAGAUACCCGGGUAGUC